rnacentral:rRNA from 1 species
AGAGACCUCAAGCGUUAUCCGGAAUCAUUGGGCGUAAAGCGUACCGAUAGGUGGUUUUACAAGUCAGAAGUGAAAUCUCUCAGCUUAACUGGGAGACUGUCUUUUGAAACUGUAAAACUAGAGGGGCAAAGAGGAAGCUGGAACGAACGGUGUAGUAGUGAAAUGCGUUGAUAUCGUUCGGAACACCAAUAGCGUAGGCAGGCUUCUGGGUGCCACCUGACACUGCUAGGACGAGAGCGUGGGGAGCGAAUGGGAUUAGAUACCCCAGUAGUCCACGCUGUAAACGAUGAUGAUUAGGUGCUAGGGAGUAUCGACCCUCCUUAGUACCAUAGCUAACGCGUUAAAUCAUCCGCCUGGGGAGUACGGCCGCAAGGCUA